rnacentral:tRNA from 1 species
GGUCAGUUAGCUCAGUUGGUUUAAGCAUGGUGCUGAUAACACCAAGGUCAUGGGUUCGAUCCCUGUUUGUUCC